UUCUCUGGCCUCUUCUUAUUUCCCGGUUUUCUGCCUCCAUCAAGGAUUACAUUGUAUUUGUUGGUAACUCAGUUUUAAUGCAUGGCAAUAAUCGUAAGUCCCUUCUUGGUUCCAGCUCGUGGACAGGGUAUCUCACAGCUUUUCGUCUAAAUUUCUCGUAGUCUGUUCUUAAGUGUGACGGUUAUUAAACUUACUGCUAAUCUUGUUGCGUGAAUUCCUGUUAAUGAUACUGUAGGUGUUGUUGUUAGUGUGUAAUUAAUUUAAUGAAUAAAUAUACUUGUGUUAACUGUUACUUUAGGCGGUUGUUGCGUCAAGUUCUAGCCGGAUGGCUUGGGAAAAGGAGAAUGCCUAUUAUAUCUUAUUCACUAAUAAAUUACUCUCUGAGUAGGCAGAUGCCUGUUUCAUUGUGUAGCGGGGGACUGCACUUGCCGGGUGGCUAUGGAGUGCAUGACGUUUUAAAACAUGUUUGGAGACUUUUCCCUAACUGUAGAUUUGUGUUUUUCAGGAUUGUACUCCUUGUUGGAGAGUGGCCGUCAUGGCUAUAAGGAAACAAAUAAUUUCUCAAGUCCUGCAUUCUCGAGCUGCUUCUACGGUUAAGAGUUAUCUCACCCAAUACCGAAAAUUUACCAACUUCGUGAAGGAAUCCCAAAUUCCUGGAAAAUUUCCCUACUCUACCCUGGUUAUUUCGCACUAUCUUUCCGACCGCAUAGAAACAAAAAGUCGUGUAGCGUUACAUUACAAUCGCAAUGCGCCACAAAGUGGGUUCAUGAUCUUGUUCCCCUGGCAUCAAAACCAGCAGAUGCAUCUUUGAUCCGUAAUAUUAUAGAAGACGGUAAACGAUCCCCUCGCACUACGUCGUGCGAAAAGGAACCCAUUUCGAUCGACACCUUAGCUAAGAUAGUGGCCAAGUACGCAACGCUCGACUCCGAGCUUAAAGAUCUGCGCACGGCACUUUUGUACGUUCUGGGUUUUUUUGUGUUGUUUCGUGCCAGCGAGCUGACUAGCAUCAAGGCGAAGGAUAUAACUUGCAAUCAAUCACGAUCAUCUCAAGACUGACCAGUAUCGCAAAGGCAAUCCGGUUUUCAUCGCACAAACUAACGGACAUCUGUGUCCACAUGCUUUUCUUCUUCGUUUUUUUUUUCUUUAGCUAGCAUUCACCCAGUUUCAGACCAAUAUAUCUUCAGAUCUUUCCAAGCUUCCCGUCGUGGUACAACAGCAACUGGCCUUGCUUCUAAACGUCUUAGUUACACAAGGUUACGUGAAAUCAAGAGACUAUAUCUAAUAUUGGUCUUUAUCCCAAACAGUAUAGUACGCAUAGUUUACGAUCUGGUGGAGCCUCGUUCACGGCAAAUUCUCAAGGGAACAAUCCUAAUUUAAAUCGUUUGCUUAUUAAACUUCAAGGCAGAUGGAAAUCCGACACCUCGAAAGACAUGUAUUUGAAAGACUCUUUAGAAAGUAGAUUGACUUUAACAAAGGCAUUACCUAUUAUCGGAAAUACGUGAACACAGAAAAUAUAUGUCCAUAUCAUAAACACAUCAAGUCAAUUGUAAAAAAUAAUCAUAAAUAAAAAAUUAUUUUGCCAGGCAAGUGCUUGCACGUCGCAUGCCAUCAAUGUUUGUGUAUAUGUGCUUAGUGGAAAGGAGAAGGAAAAUGAUUUUCCUUCGGAUGAACGUAGUGAAGUGAGAAGGAAAUACGCCAGUGCUUCAAUUCAAUGGAGAAUUUCAACAUAAAUAAAUUACGGAAACUCACUAUAAAUACUGAGAAAUAUUUUUACCAUCCUUGUUUUAGUAGAAGCUUCACGAUUUUCGAGCCUAGUCAGCCUACGGUGUACGUGAUAAUAUAAAGUAAACUAUAUGUUUUCCGGGGUAGAGGAAACUUUUCUGUGACAACGCGGUAUAAAGUGAGUCAUUUUGUGACGCAAAGAAUCGCUACUGAUCUCACUUGCUAUUUAUUGUUUGUUUAUCGUAUAAAAACAUAAUAAUCUAUUUGUAAAUAUUGUAUGCGUAAUUGGUAAGCAUUUGUGUCAAAUUGGAUUGUUAAUAAUAACAACUGCAUGAGCUAUCCAGCUGUUAAGUUCCAAAUUACAAUAUAAAACAUACUCCGAAUCCUGAAUAUACAUAUUGUGCGC